rnacentral:lncRNA from 1 species
AUGGCAGCGCUAAAGAGGGAAGGGGGCACGUGGGAGCGCCAAGCUGAAGGGCCAAGGGAGCGGACCCGCGCGGCGGGUCCCGCCGCCCUGAGGAGACGUCGAGGGAGCAAACUUGGACGAGCGCUCCGCCGCGCGCGGCCGGCGCUAAGGCCCGGGAGCCGACGAGCUCGGGCCCGGCGCGCCGAGGGGGCGGAUCCUGAGCAGCGGCGGAGCCUCGCGGGCGGAGCUGGGCGAUACAUGCGAGGGUCGGCCGGGCGCGCGCGGCCGCAGUUCGCCCGGGCGCGCGCUUGUUUACCAGCGCACGUGGGUGUUAUUUUUAAAUGGAAUGUGGUGCUGGCCGGGCUGCCGCGCGUAGGGCGCGUGGGGCCGCCCGCGCUAGCUGGGGGACGCGGCGGCACCCGCGCCGCGGCCUCUGCGGGCGCUGCUAAGCCGGACGGCGAAGCUGUCUCCGUGCGUGUUGCCAGCGGCCCCGGCCCUGGAGCCCGAUUGCCGAGUUUCGCGCGCUGCCGGAGCGGCCGCCGAGAUGACGGGUUCCCGCCUCGGAACGCCGCCUUCAUUCUUCCCGUGCUUGGCUCCCCCGCAUUCCACACUCUGGGAACAAAGCCGCCCGCCGUUGCGGGGCUGGGAGGCGGCGCUGGGCGGACCCCGCAGCUGCAGGUUCUGGAGCUGUGUUCACGCACGCACGCUCGCCCUCUCAAACGCGUUUCUGCUACUUUGGGUGUCCCUGCGAAGUCUGGGGGGACAAGGGGGGGAAGAGAUCUGCUUCAUGGGAUUGCGCCUCAGCCGGAGGAUCCUCUCUGUGGGCCUGCCCCGCUGAGAUCCCGAGUUUGUAUUCGGUUUACAGUGUGGACAGUGGUGCGAGAUCACAGCUGUCAGCUCCAAGUGCCAGUGUUCUGGACGCCGAGGGCAGAGGUUUCGGGGGAGGCAGAUAGGGGAGUAGGAACAGAUUAUCCGCAGUCUGGUGUUCAGUUUUGCGCCAAGGGCUUAGGGCUUUUGCACCGUGAUGCCGCAUAA